AAUAAUGGACAAUGGGCGCAAGCCUUGAACAGCCAUGCCACGGUAGAGAAGAAGGGCUCAGGGGUGUAAAGCUCUUUCUCCGGAGAAGAUAAUGACGGUAACCGGAGAAGAAGCCCCGGCUAACUUCGUACAAGCAGCCGCGGUAAUACGAAGGGGGCUAGCGUUGUUCGGAAUUACUGGGCUUAAAGCGAACGUAGACGGAUUAUUAAGUCAGGUGUGAAAGCCCGCAGCUCAACUGCAGAACUGCCUUUGAUACUGGUAGUCUAGAGACCGAGAGAGGUAAGUGGAACUCCUAGUGUAGAGGUGGAAUUCGUAGAUAUUAGGAAGAACACCAGUGGCGAAGGCGGCUUACUGGCUCGGAACUGACGCUGAGGUGCGAAAGCGUGGGGAGCAAAC
rnacentral:rRNA from 1 species